ensembl:miRNA
CAGUUCUAUAGAUUGGUGCAAAAGUAAUGGCGGUUUUUGCCAUUAUUUUUAAUGGUAAAAACUGUAAUUACUUUUGCAC